rnacentral:rRNA from 1 species
UCCUACGGGAGGCAGCAGCAAGGAAUUUUGUGCAAUGGGCGAAAGCCUGACACAGCAACGUCGCGUGGGGGAUGAAGGCCUUCGGGUUGUAAACCCCUUUUCUCAGGGAAGAAUAAUGACGGUACCUGAGGAAUAAGUCUCGGCUAACUACGUGCCAGCAGCCGCGGUAAUACGUAGGGGGCGAGCGUUAUCCGGAUUUAUUGGGCGUAAAGAGGGCGUAGGCGGUUUUUCAAGUCGGAUGUAAAAUCUCCCAGCUUAACUGGGAGGGAUCAUUCGAUACUGAUGGGCUAGAGGGCAGCAGAGGGAGGUGGAAUUCCCGGUGUAGUGGUGAAAUGCGUAGAUAUCGGGAAGAACACUAGUGGCGAAGGCGGCUUCCUGGGCUGUUACUGACGCUGAGGCCCGAAGGCGUGGGGAGCAAACAGGAUUAGAUACCCGGGUAGUCCAAGCCG